rnacentral:rRNA from 1 species
CCUACGGGAGGCAGCAGUGAGGAAUAUUGGUCAAUGGUCGGGAGACUGAACCAGCCAAGCCGCGUGAGGGAUGAAGGUACAGAGUAUCGUAAACCUCUUUUGUCAGGGAACAAAGUCGGGGACGUGUCCCCGGCUGAGUGUACUUGAAGAAAAAGCAUCGGCUAACUCCGUGCCAGCAGCCGCGGUAAUACGGAGGAUGCGAGCGUUAUCCGGAUUUAUUGGGUUUAAAGGGUGCGCAGGCGGUCUGUUAAGUCAGCGGUCAAAGCCCGGGGCUCAACCCCGGCCCGCCGUUGAAACUGGCAGUCUCGAGUUGGAGAGAAGUAUGCGGAAGGCGCGGUGUAGCGGUGAAAUGCAUAGAUAUCGCGCAGAACUCCGAUUGCGAAGGCAGCAUGCCGGCUCCACACUGACGCUGAGGCACGAAAGCGUGGGUAUCGAACAGGAUUAGAUACCCUUGUAGUC